UCCUAAUUCACGAUCGGGCAAUCUCUAUGACUCAAUUCAAAAACAAGGUGAGGGCGUAUCAAGUUGGUAUCAGAGCUAGUUGAAUUAGAGUAAGAAUCGUUGUAAUCGGUAUUACGAGAUUGUAAAAAAAAUAAAAAAAUCGAAAAAAAAUCAAAAAAAAUCUUAUUAUUAUUUUGUGUUCAAAGCUUUCUAUUGUAUUUGGCAAAGUGUAAAAAAAAAGAAGAAAAAAAUAUUCGGAAUAAAAAAAACGAUUGAAAUUCAUUUUGAGUUUACAAAAGCCUAGCUUGCUGCCCGAAGAACCACAUCUAUACAGCC
rnacentral:lncRNA from 1 species